UACGAAGGGGGCUAGCGUUGCUCGGAAUCACUGGGCGUAAAGGGUGCGUAGGCGGAUCUUUAAGUCAGGGGUGAAAUCCUGGAGCUCAACUCCAGAACUGCCUUUGAUACUGAAGAUCUUGAGUUCGGGAGAGGUGAGUGGAACUGCGAGUGUAGAGGGUGAAAUUCGUAGAUAUUCGCAAGAACACCAGUGGCGAAGGCGGCUCUCUGGACAGGUACUGACGCUGAGACGCGAAAGCGUGGGUAGCAAACAGG
rnacentral:rRNA from 1 species